UACGAAGGGGGCUAGCGUUGCUCGGAAUCACUGGGCGUAAAGGGUGCGUAGGCGGGUCUUUUAAGUCAGGGGUGAAAUCCUGGAGCUCAACUCCAGAACUGCCUUUGAUACUGAGGAUCUUGAGUUCGGGAGAGGUGAGUGGAACUGCGAGUGUAGAGGUGAAAUUCGUAGAUUAUUCGCAAGAACACCAGUGGCGAAGGCGGCUCACUGGCCCGAUACUGACG
rnacentral:rRNA from 1 species